UCAGACGAUGCGUCAUGCAUAUCAAUAAGCGGAGGAAAAGAAACUAACAAGGAUUCCCUUAGUAACGGCGAGUGAAGCGGGAAGAGCUCAAAUUUGAAAUCUUAAAGGGUUUCCCUUUACGAAUUGUAGUUUAAAGAAGUGUUUUCUGUUAGAGUUUCGGUAAAAGUUCUUUGGAAUAGGACAUCAUAGAGGGUGAGAAUCCCGUAUUUGACCGUUAUUUCUAGCUUUGUGAUACACUUUCAAAGAGUCGGAUUGUUUGGGAAUGCAGCCCAAAAUGGGUGGUAAAUUUCAUCUAAAGCUAAAUAUUGGCGAGAGACCGAUAGCGAACAAGUACCGUGAGGGAAAGAUGAAAAGAACUUUGAAAAGAGAGUUAAACAGUACGUGAAAUUGUCAAAAGGGAAGCGUUUGACACCAGUGUUGUUUUCUCGAAAAUCAAUUAAAAAAGGCAGGAUUUUGUGUUGUAUUGACUUUAUCAGCUUUCUGCACUCUUUUCUUGUCUUUUUUUAAUGCACUUUUCGUUUAACAAGUCAACAUCAAUUUCUUUUGUUGUAAAAGGGUCAUUGGAAGGUGGCUUUCUUUUCGGAGAAAGUGUUUAUAGCCCUUUACCUCUGCAAUCGGAGAGAUUGAGGUCUGCAGCGUAGAUCCUUCGGGGUUAGAUACAUUUGUGCUAAGUUAUAGCCUUUCAUAGACAACUUGUUGACGAUGAUCAGUCAUGUAGCUUACUCGCUUAUGCUAUUUUACCUACGCUUAGGAUGUUGAUCUACAGAGCGAGAGU
rnacentral:rRNA from 1 species